rnacentral:rRNA from 1 species
UACGGGGGGAGCAAGCGUUGUUCGGAUUUACUGGGCGUAAAGGGCGCGUAGGCGGCGUGUCAAGUCAGGCGUGAAAGCCCCGGGCUCAACCUGGGAACCGCGCUUGAGACUGGCAUGCUCGAGUUCGGGAGAGGAUGGUGGAAUUCCCAGUGUAGAGGUGAAAUUCGUAGAUAUUGGGAAGAACACCGAUGGCGAAGGCAGCCAUCUGGACCGACACUGACGCUGAGGCGCGAAAGCGUGGGAG